rnacentral:lncRNA from 1 species
GUGGGUCUUGAGAGACUGAAGUCUUUGAUGAUUGGCUCAGGGAUGGAUACAUAAACCAACCAGAGCCAAUGGGAUGUGAGGCAUGAAGCUUCUGCAGUCCUCUUGCCUAUUUCAGGACAGCUUGAGAAUAGAACAAACCUGCAGCUCACAGAAUUCACAGUUUGAUCCCCAGAUAAACCCAUAUGGGUCCACUGUCCAGGACGAAGCAUGAAGCAGCUGCCUAAAAGGACACAGAACAUUUCCUUGGAAUCAGUUUGCAUUCCCUAGGAAUUAAAGUCUUGAGGAUGUGUGAAACAGGGACCCAAAGACAUCUUGCCUGCUGGGAAGCAUGCCCAUUCCAGAGUGAAUGUUGGAAGGUAAAGUCAGCCCCUUUCAAGCACACACAGGAAGUGUUGAAAACAAAUGAAAGGCUCACAUUUGGAAAUCACAUGGAAAACUAAUUGUGGAUUCAUCUCAACUCUCAGGUGUUUAGAACCGUGGCCACCAUAAAGAGGACCCCCUUAUAUGGAAGGCGUGUGAGGGUGUGGUAUGACCUCAGUGGGGUGUGCAGAAUAACCAAGAAUGCUGGUAACUGAACUAGAUGGUGGUAGUCAAAAGUCCAAAGGAAGAGUUAUGGUGGAGAAGGUGGUGCGGUAAUUUUAUACUGCUUCUGAAGUGGAUGAUUGCAAGCUAUUUUACAAUGGAAUGAUUUCUAUUUUUCUGCUUUUAAUGAUGGAAAUUCUAGUGAUAAAACCUGCCCACCUCUGAAGUUUUAUUUUGUGGUCUACCCUUUCAAAGCAGAUUCAGUUCAUCAAGAAUGGCUUCCAGCAGCAUUAGAAGGGUGUGUUCAGUACCCUGUUCAGUAUGAGUUUCCAUCUCUAAGCAAUUUGGUUGUCUCUUCCGGGCAGCUCUGAUCUCAUAGGCCGUGUUGUCAAGACUCAGGCUGGACACACAGACCUUCCUCUGAAUAACUUUGCCAUGUCCUGUCAAUGCCAGCUGCUUGCAUUGUAAUUUAGUUUCCCCAGUUCAUAUUUAAGAAGACUAAAAACUCUCUAAAGAGAACACCCUGUCUUAGGGAUUCCUAGCACAUAUUCGGUGAGAAAGCUAUUGUAUGGGCUCACUGGAAACCCACAAAUGGCCCAGACUUGAUGUCACACAUACCCCACCCAACACCUCUUUACGACACUACCAUCUGCAUCCUGGAAUGACAAACUGUUUUUAUUUUUUCUAGAAAGAACGUUUUCCACAAUUUUUGUGGGUGGCCUUUCCAUACAGCACACCUAACACGACUGAAACACCAGACAGAUUGCAGGCUCCUUGGGAAUAAGCAACCCCUGGGAGAUUCUUGUAUUUAUUAGGAUGAGGGGAAAAUGAAGGCUGCUGGUGUAUCUUUUAUAUCCAAUAAAAUAAUCAUGAGUGUAAGCUAAGUAAAAAAUGCCCAAAUGUUGCCCCAAACACCUGCUAAGGCAAUGUGAAUGGAAGAGGGAGGUAUUAAAGAGAGAGAGCUUGGUGGGUAGGAGAUUGAUGGGAGAAAAAAAAGCAAUGAGAGAACACAUCUGGGUGGCCAAUCAUGGCAGAACACAACUGGGUGGUUAGUGUGGCUGCUCAGUCCUGAAACAGAUUGGCCUGUUCCUCAGUGCUAGGGGACAACCAUCUCCAAAAUAGGAUGGAUAUGCUCCAGGAGACAACCCACUAUGGUGUGGGAAGAAAAUAUUUGGAGCACUCAUGUUUGCAUCUCUAAUCCCUUCUUUUAAAAAUUUCUACUUUAUUUUUUUAAUUAGUAAAUAUAUAUAUAUAUAUAACUUUAAGUUCUGGGAUACAUGUGCUGAACAUGUAGGUUUGUUACAUAGGUAUACACUGUUACAUAGGUAUACAUUGAUGGUGGUUUGCUGCACCUAUCAACCCUAUCAUCUAGGUUUUUUUUUUUUUUUUUUGAGACGGAGUCUCGCUGUCGCCCAGGUUGGAGUGCAGUGGCGUGAUCUCGGCUCACUGCAGGCUCCGCCCCCCGGGGUUCAUGCCAUUCUCCUGCCUCAGCCUCCCGAGUAGCUGGGAAUACAGGCACCCGCCACCUCGCCCGGCUAAUUUUUUGAAUUUUUAGUAGAGACCGGGUUUCGCCAUGUUAGCCAGGAUGGUUUCGAUCUCCUGAGCUCGUGAUCCACCCGCCUCGGCCUCCCAAAGUGCUGGGAUUACAGGCGUGAGCCACCGCGCCUGGCCCCCUAUCAUCUAGGUUUUAAGCUCUGCAUGCAUUAGGUAUUUGUCCUAGUGCUUUCCCUCCCCUUUUCCCACCACCCCGACAGGCCCCAGUGUGUGUUAUUCCCCUCCUUGUGUCCAUGUGUUCUCAUUGUUUAACUCUCACUUAUGAGUGAGAACAUGUGGUGUUUGGUUCUCUGUUUCUGUGUGAGUUUGCUGAGGAUAAUGGUUUCCAGCCUCACCCAUGUCCCUGCAAAGGACAUGAACUUUAUAGUUACUGUAAUAUGAGCAUAGUGGUA